AACGCGAAGAACCUUACCCGGGUUUGAAAUGUAGAGGACGAUAACAGAGAUGUUAUUUCCCGAAAGGGUCUUUACACAGGUGCUGCAUGGCUGUCGUCAGCUCGUGCCGUGAGGUGUUGGGUUAAGUCCCGCAACGAGCGCAACCCUUAUCGUUAGUUGCCAACAUUUAAGAUGGGAACUCUAACGAGACUGCCUAGGUUAACUAGGAGGAAGGUGAGGAUGACGUCAAGUCCGCAUGGCCUUUAUAUCCGGGGCUACACACGUGCUACAAUGGUCGGUACAGAGGGCAGCGAGACCGCAAGGUGGAGCAAAUCCCACAAAGCCGAUCUCAGUUCGGAUUGUAGUCUGCAACUCGACUACAUGAAGCUGGAAUUGCUAGUAAUGGCGAGUCAGCAAUAUCGCCGUGAAUACGUUCCCGGGCCUUGUACACACCGCAUAC
rnacentral:rRNA from 1 species